CUGACUCAGCCUCUCAGAGCAAGUCACUGAUGUUCCAGCACACCUGAGCCAGCAUGAGCUCUAGCAGCAGCAUUGGAAGGUACAUGGGAGGCAGGGCCUUUACGGUACUCUACAGUCGGUCGUUUCCAGGAAAGGAAGACGCUUUUCAUUUAUCCAACCAAUAUGUAUUGAGCACUAUUUUGUGUUGGGCACUGUUCUGAACUGUGCAGAUUCAACAGUAAGCAAUAUUCCGUCCCUUAGGCCACCAUGAUUGAUUCAAGGAGAGGCUCGUGACCCAAGGUGGGCUGAUGAGCAUCAUGCCAGCUCCUGGCAAAGCAUCUCUCUCUUUCCGGGAUAGCAGGCACUAAGAACUGUUGGAGCCUGGAGCUGUCCGAGGGCAUCUUUGCCACCAGUCGAAGGGAGCCUGGCCAAAGAAUAAAAUGAGCAGGGAAAAGAAGACCCAAGAGAUGGAGACAGAAAGUGACUGUAUCAUGAGGACACCAAGCCCCUGGAUACAACCAUGCCUGAAGCUUAAACUACAUUCAGACUUUGCGGUUUGUAUGAGCCGAUAUAUUCCUUUUCCUGCUGAAGCCACUUCUGGUGGAGUUUGCACAACUUACAGCUAAAACAGUUCCAACAAAUCCAAGGUUGGAGAGAGAAAGUAGUUAUUUCUCCUAGCAAACUGUGGUGUCCUUCAGGUAAAGAACUUGGUGUUAGUCACCUUCCCAUCCCUCAGUGCACUGUCACUUAGAUGUAAGAAUUUAAGAAGUGCUUGUGAAUGUAAGGACACUGAAGGAAAUGGUAAAGAACUCGGUAAAGAAUGCAAUCGCGGCAGAGAUACACGCGGAAGGGACAGCCGGGCCACCACAAGAGGCUUUUGUGCCGCCAAGGAUAUAUUUCCAGGAAAAUAAAACCAAGUGGAGUCCUGA